GACGAACGCUGGCGGCGUGCUUAACACAUGCAAGUCGAGCGGUAAGGCCCUUUCGGGGGUACACGAGCGGCGAACGGGUGAGUAACACGUGGGUGACCUGCCCUCAGCUCUGGGAUAAGCCUGGGAAACCGGGUCUAAUACCGGAUAUGACUCCAUGACGCAUGUUGUGGGGUGGAAAGCCUUGUGCGGCUGAGGAUGGGCCCGCGGCCUAUCAGCUUGUUGGUGGGGGAUGGCCUACCAAGGCGACGACGGGUAGCCGGCCUGAGAGGGCGACCGGCCACACUGGGACUGAGACACGGCCCAGACUCCUACGGGAGGCAGCAGUGGGGAAUAUUGGACAAUGGGCGAAAGCCUGAUCCAGCGAUGCCGCGUGUGU
rnacentral:rRNA from 1 species